AAAGUUUAGGAAGGGUGCUUGUGAAAAGAGUAUGAAUUAGAUGGAAUUGAUUGGACAAAAGUAGAUUUUGAAGACAACCAAGAGUGUUUGGAUCUCUUUGAGAAGAAACCUAUAGGGCUAAUAUCUUUGUUGGAUGAAGAUUCAAAUUUCCCCAAGGCCACUGAUUUGACCUUUGCUAAUAAGCUUAAGCAACACUUGAGUGGUAAUCCUUGCUUUAAAGGAGAAAGAGGUGGAGCUUUUGGUAUUUGCCAUUAUGCUGGAGAGGUAUGUUGUUAGAUGGUGUAGCUGGCAUUAACUAGAAAUUUACAGCUCAAAUUGGUGAAUCUUUUGACUACACUGCGAUGUGUACUGUUUCCAAAAUAAUAAAGACGAAAUAACUAACAAAUAUAGGACAAUUGAAGAUGUUAUGUUAAGACAUUUUAUGGGAAG